AGAGUUUGAUCCUGGCUCAGGAUGAACGCUAGCGGCAGGCUUAACACAUGCAAGUCGAGGGGUAACAGGAAUAGCUUGCUAUUUGCUGACGACCGGCGCACGGGGGAGUGAGUAACGCGUAUGCAACCUACCUUUUACUGGAGAAUAGCCUUUAGAAAUGAAGAUUAAUACUCCAUAAUAAUAGAGACUCUCCUGAGUUUUUAUUUAAAGUUUCGGCGGUAAAAGAUGGGCAUGCGUUUUAUUAGUUAGUUGGUAAGGUAACGGCUUACCAAGACUACGAUAAAUAGGGGUCCUGAGAGGGAGAUCCCCCACACUGGUACUGAGACACGGACCAGACUCCUACGGGAGGCAGCAGUGAGGAAUAUUGGACAAUGGGCGAGAGCCUGAUCCAGCCAUGCCGCGUGCAGGAAGACGGCCCUAUGGGUUGUAAACUGCUUUUAUACAGGAAGAAACCUCCCCACGUGUGGGGAGCUGACGGUACUGUAAGAAUAAGCACCGGCUAACUCCGUGCCAGCAGCCGCGGUAAUACGGAGGGUGCAAGCGUUAUCCGGAAUCAUUGGGUUUAAAGGGUCCGUAGGCGGACUAUUAAGUCAGAGGUGAAAUCCCACAGCUUAACUGUGGAACUGCCUUUGAUACUGGUAGUCUUGAGUUAAGACGAGGUAAGCGGAAUGUGUAGUGUAGCGGUGAAAUGCUUAGAUAUUACACAGAACACCGAUUGCGAAGGCAGCUUACUAGACUAUAACUGACGCUGAUGGACGAAAGCGUGGGUAGCGAACAGGAUUAGAUACCCUGGUAGUCCACGCCGUAAACGAUGCUCACUAGUUGUAUGCGAUACAUUGUAUGUGACUGAGCGAAAGCAUUAAGUGAUCCACCUGGGGAGUACGUCGGCAACGAUGAAACUCAAAGGAAUUGACGGGGGCCCGCACAAGCGGAGGAACAUGUGGUUUAAUUCGAUGAUACGCGAGGAACCUUACCUGGGCUUAAAUGUAGAUUGCAUAGAUUAGAGAUAGUCUUUUUCUUCGGAACUAUUUACAAGGUGCUGCAUGGUUGUCGUCAGCUCGUGCCGUGAGGUGUCGGGUUAAGUCCCAUAACGAGCGCAACCCCUAUCGUUAGUUGCUAGCAGGUAAUGCUGAGGACUCUAGCGAGACUGCCACCGUAAGGUGAGAGGAAGGUGGGGAUGACGUCAAAUCAGCACGGCCCUUAUGUCCAGGGCUACACACGUGUUACAAUGGCAGGUACAAAGGGCAGCUACACAGCGAUGUGAUGCUAAUCUCUAAAGCCUGUCCCAGUUCGGAUUGGAGUCUGCAACCCGACUCCAUGAAGUUGGAUUCGCUAGUAAUCGGAUAUCAGCCAUGAUCCGGUGAAUACGUUCCCGGGCCUUGUACACACCGCCCGUCAAACCAUGGAAGCUGGGGGUGCCUGAAGUCUGUGACCGUAAGGAGCGGCCUAGGGUAAAACUGGUAACUAGGGUUAAGUCGAAACAAGGUAACCGUAAAGGGCGAAU
rnacentral:rRNA from 1 species